rnacentral:rRNA from 1 species
GUGGUAAUGCCGGAUGCUCCAGUUGGAUGCAUGUCCUUCUGGGAAAGAUUCAUCGGUAUGGGAUGGGGUCGCGUCCUAUCAGCUUGAUGGCGGGGUAACGGCCCACCAUGGCUUCGACGGGUAGCCGGCCUGAGAGGGCGACCGGCCACAUUGGGACUGAGAUACGGCCCAGACUCCUACGGGAGGCAGCAGUGGGGAAUAUUGCACAAUGGGCGCAAGCCUGAUGCAGCGACGCCGCGUGCGGGAUGACGGCCUUCGGGUUGUAAACCGCUUUUGAUUGGGAGCAAGCCCUUCGGGGUGAGUGUACCUUUCGAAUAAGCACCGGCUAACUACGUGCCAGCAGCCGCGGUAAUACGUAGGGUGCAAGCGUUAUCCGGAAUUAUUGGGCGUAAAGGGCUCGUAGGCGGUUCGUCGCGUCCGGUGUGAAAGUCCAUCGCUUAACGGUGGAUCCGCGCCGGGUACGGGCGGGCUUGAGUGCGGUAGGGGAGACUGGAAUUCCCGGUGUAACGGUGGAAUGUGUAGAUAUCGGGAAGAACACCA